CCUACGGGAGGCAGCAGUGGGGAAUUUUGGACAAUGGGCGCAAGCCUGAUCCAGCAAUGCCGCGUGAGUGAAGAAGGCCUUCGGGUUGUAAAGCUCUUUUGUCAGGGAAGAAACGGCUGAGGUUAAUACCUUUGGCUAAUGACGGUACCUGAAGAAUAAGCACCGGCUAACUACGUGCCAGCAGCCGCGGUAAUACGUAGGGUGCAAGCGUUAAUCGGAAUUACUGGGCGUAAAGCGUGCGCAGGCGGUUUUGUAAGUCUGACGUGAAAUCCCCGGGCUCAACCUGGGAAUUGCGUUGGAGACUGCAAGGCUGGAGUCUGGCAGAGGGGGGUAGAAUUCCACGUGUAGCAGUGAAAUGCGUAGAGAUGUGGGGGAACACCGAUGGCGAAGGCAGCCCCCUGGGUCAAGACUGACGCUCAUGCACGAAAGCGUGGGGAGCAAACAGGAUUAGAUACCCUGGUAGUCCACGCCCUAAACGAUGUCUACUAGUUGUCGGGUCUUAAUUGACUUGGUAACGCAGCUAACGCGUGAAGUAGACCGCCUGGGGAGUACGGUCGCAAGAUUAAAACUCAAAUGAAUUGACCGGNNGAGAGNGCGAGACGACGACGAGGGAGAGG
rnacentral:rRNA from 1 species